rnacentral:rRNA from 1 species
UACGUAGGGUGCGAGCGUUUAAUCGGAAUUACUGGGCGUAAAGCGUGCGCAGGCGGUUCGUUAAGUCCGAUGUGAAAGCCCCGAGCUUAACUUGGGAAUGGCAUUGGAAACUGGCGGGCUGGAGUGUGGCAGAGGGGGGUGGAAUUCCGACGUGUAGCAGUGAAAUGCGUAGAGAUGUGGAGGAACACCGAUGGCGAAGGCAGCCCCCUGGGCCAACACUGACGCUCAGGCACGAAAGCGUGGGGAGCAAACAGG